rnacentral:rRNA from 1 species
GGACGAAACCGGAGGAAGGUGGGGAUGACGUCAAGUCCUUCAUGGCCCGUUAUGGGUAGGCUUCACACGUCAGUACAAUAGGUCGGUACAGAGGGUUGCCAAGCCGCGAGGUGGAGCCAAUCCCAGAAAGCCGAUCGUAGUCCGGAUUGGAGUCUGCAACUCGACUCCAUGAAGUCGGAAUCGCUAGUAAUCGCGGAUCAGCAUGCUGCGGUGAAUACGUUCCCGGGUCUU